rnacentral:rRNA from 1 species
GACGAACGCUGGCGGCGUGCUUAACACAUGCAAGUCGAACGGAAAGGCCCUGCUCUUGUGGGGUGCACGAGUGGCGAACGGGUGAGUAACACGCGUGUAACCUGCCCUUGUCUUUGGGAUAACUUCAGGAAACUGGGGCUAAUAUCGGAUAGGAGCUCCUGCUGCACGGUGGGGGUUGGUAAGUUUCGGCGGUUGGGGCUGGACUCGCGGCUUAUCAGCUUGAUGGGGGGGUAGUGGCGUACCAAGGCUUUGACGGGUAGCCGGCCUGGGAGGUUGGCCGGCGACAAUGCGACUGCGAGACGGCGCAGACUCCUACGGGCGGCAGCGGUGGGGAGUCUUGCACAGUGGGCGCAAGCGUGAUGCGACGGCGCCGCGUGCGGAAUGCCGGCUUUCGGGUUAUGAACCGCUUUCGCCGGUAACGAAGCGUGAUUGACGGUAAUGGGUAAAGAAGCACCGGCUAACUACGUG